CCUACGGGAGGCAGCAGUGAGGAAUAUUGGUCAAUGGCCGGGAGGCUGAACCAGCCAAGUCGCGUGAGGGAAGACGGCCCUACGGGUUGUAAACCUCUUUUGUCAGGGAGCAAGGUGCAGGUCGGGACCUGCUGUGAGAGUACCUGAAGAAAAAGCAUCGGCUAACUCCGUGCCAGCAGCCGCGGUAAUACGGAGGAUGCGAGCGUUAUCCGGAUUUAUUGGGUUUAAAGGGUGCGCAGGCGGAGGCACAAGUCAGCGGUAAAAUCGCGGGGCUCAACCCCGCUCCGACGUUGAAACUGUGGCCCUUGAGUGCGCGAAGGGUAGGCGGAAUGCGUGGUGUAGCGGUGAAAUGCAUAGAUAUCACGCAGAACUCCGAUCGCGAAGGCAGCCUACCGGCGCGCAACUGACGCUCAUGCACGAAAGCGUGGGUAUCGAACAGGAUUAGAUACCCUGGUAGUC
rnacentral:rRNA from 1 species